rnacentral:rRNA from 1 species
ACGGAAGGCAGCAGUGAGGAAUAUUGGUCAAUGGGCGGAAGCCUGAACCAGCCAUCUCGCGUGCAGGACUACGGCCCUACGGGUCUUAAACUGCUUUUAUGGGGGGAUAAAGUCGGGCAUUCGUGUCCGUUUGCAGGUACCCCAUGAAUAAGGAUCGGCUAACUCCGUGCCAGCAGCCGCGGUAAUACGGAGGAUCCGAGCGUUAUCCGGAUUUAUUGGGUUUAAAGGGUGCGCAGGCGGUCUUUUAAGUCAGUGGUUAAAUCGUGGAGCUCAACUCCAUCCCGCCAUUGAUACUGGAGGACUUGAUUGCGGUCGAGGUUGGCGGAAUUCGCCGUGUAGCGGUGAAAUGCAUAGAUAUGGCGAAGAACUCCGAUUGCGUAGGCAGCUGACCAGGCCGUAAAUGACGCUCAUGCACGAAAGUGCGGGGAUCGAACAGGAUUAGAUACCCUGGUA